rnacentral:rRNA from 1 species
AGAGUUUGAUCCUGGCUCAGGGUGAACGCUGGCGGCGUGGAUAAGGCAUGCAAGUCGAAUGGGUUUAGACCCAUGGCAGACGAGGUAGUAACACGUAGGUACGUACCCCAAAGUCAGGCAUAACCGGUCGAAAGAUCGGAUAAUUCCUGAUGGUCCCGCAAGGGUAAAGAUUUAUCGCUUUGGGAGCGGCCUGCGUCGUAUCAGCUUGUUGGUAAGGUAAAAGCUUACCAAGGCUAUGACGCGUAGGGGAGGUGAGAGCCUGACCCCCACCGAUGGAACUGAGACACGGUCCAUACUCCUACGGGAGGCUGCAGCCGAGAAUAUUCCGCAAUGGACGAAAGUCUGACGGAGCGACGCCGCGUGAAGGAUGACGGCCUUCGGGUUGUAAACUUCUUUUAUGAGGGAGGAAAUUUUGACGUUACCUCAUGAAUAAGGGGCUCCUAAUUCCGUGCCAGCAGGAGCGGUCAUACGGAAGCCCCGAGCGUUACCCGGAAUCACUGGGCGUAAAGGGUGCGUAGGUGGUGAUAUUAGUCUUUUGUUAAAGGUCAGGGCUCAACCCUGGACAUGCGAAGGAAACGGUAUCACUAGAGGGUGAGAGAGGUGUACGGAACUCAUGGUGUAGGGGUGAAAUCCGUUGAUAUCAUGAGGAACACCAAAUGCGAAGGCAGUACACUGGCUCAUUUCUGACACUGAGGCACG